rnacentral:tRNA from 1 species
GAUUUGGUGGUUCAGUGAUAGAAUUCUUGUGGCCUUCUAUGCCAGAGACCUGGGUUCAAUUCCUAGCUAAUGUA